UGGAGAAAGGAAUCUAGGGUGACCAACA
rnacentral:piRNA from 1 species